CGAGGGUACGAGGCCCGGCUGCCCCGUUCGGCUCCGGCCCGGGCGACGUGGGCUUCGGUACCGGGCCGGACACCUUCGGC
rnacentral:tRNA from 1 species